UGGAGAUCUGCUCUGUUAGAGUUUUGUGAGCGAGCCCAGGAUAGGGUUUCCUUGCAGGAAGAGAAUAAAGAAAAGUCUGCUUUCACACAGGAGGGGAUAUGAUAUACCUUUAGCUGAUUCCCACAGGGGUGUACAUAUUCUCCCACUAUUGCUCAAGCCACCUCAGUGACCUUUGACAGAGUUUCACUGCCUUAGGAUGUGUAUCCAUGUGUAGAUGAUAUUUAAUUGCAAGCUCAUACUCUGGAAAGGUGGGGGAAGUGGCAGCAGCACUAGAUGACUGAGAAUUUGAGAUUCCACCUGCAAACUGUCAGGGGCUAAGUAAAGGAGUGAAACUUUAAGGCAGCAAAGGCCAGCAAAAUUGUGCAAACUUGACUGAACCAAAGCAGAGAUAUGGGAAACCAGUGUGAACAGAAGCAAAGCUGUGCAAAAUCUUACAAAACCACGUGAACUUCAUGGAAUCUCAGUGAAGACCAGUGAUCCUGCAAAGUCUUCAGUGAACCAGGGCGGACUUCUGCAAAGCCCAGUGAAGAUCCACAAGCCUGUACAAAAAUACCGUGAAUCCGCAUGGACAGUACAAGGAACCCAAGUGAAAACCCACAACAUCGUGCGUCCUUUGCUUUAUUCAGGUUUGUUAUCUGGCAAUGCAGCCCAGCUGGAUAAGGCUCUUGUAGACUGGUAGUAUUUUCUUCAGGAACACUGAAAUCUGAAUCAGUGGGACAUCGUCCAUGAUCUAUUAUCCAACUCUUACCUUCUCCUCCCCUGGUUUCUCAUUGCCUGAGCACUUCAGGUUCACAGAAGAUGAAAAUGAAAAGAAAAAAGGAAAAGGAAAAUGGAGGAAAAAAAAAAAAAAAAAAAGAAAA